GAUGAACGCAGGCGGCGUGCCUAAUACAUGCAAGUCGAGCGAAUGGAUUAAGAGCUUGCUCUUAUGAAGUUAGCGGCGGACGGGUGAGUAACACGUGGGUAACCUGCCCAUAAGACUGGGAUAACUCCGGGAAACCGGGGCUAAUACAGGAUAACAUUUUGAACCGCAUGGUUCGAAAUUGAAAGGCGGCUUCGGCUGUCACUUAUGGAUGGACCCGCGUCGCAUUAGCUAGUUGGUGAGGUAACGGCUCACCAAGGCAACGAUGAGUAGCCGACCUGAGAGGGUGAUCGGCCACACUGGGACUGAGACACGGCCCAGACUCCUACGGGAGGCAGCAGUAGGGAAUCUUCCGCAAUGGACGAAAGUCUGACGGAGCAACGCCGCGUGAGUGGUGAAGGCUUUCGGGUCGUAAAACUCUGUUGUUAGGGAAGAACAAGUGCUAGUUGAAUAAGCUGGCACCUUGACGGUACCUAACCAGAAAGCCACGACUAACUACGUGCCAGCCGCCGCCGUAA
rnacentral:rRNA from 1 species